GAUAAAUUCAUUUUUUCUUCUAUUUUUCGUAGCUUAGCUUCUUCCUUCUGUUUGUCCAGCUCUUCGAGCCACUUCUUCUGUUGCUCAUGCUUUAAAGAACUAAAAGGUUGUUCCUGUGGCACAGCUUCCUUAUCUGGGUCAGCUGUUUCCAUUUUCUCUGUGUGGUUUUUAUCAUUGCCAGAUUUUGUCCACAGAUAAACCACAUCUCCUUCCAAAGUUUCUUUCAGUUUCUUCUUCAGUGCUACCUGUUCAUCUAGUUCCUUCUUCCACUGUGUCUUUUUUGAUUCUAAUAAGGCUUUCUCUC
rnacentral:lncRNA from 1 species